UACGUAGGGUGCGAGCGUUAAUCGGAAUUACUGGGCGUAAAGUGUGCGCAGGCGGCCAUGCAAGACAGAUGUGAAAUCCCCGGGCUCAACCUGGGAACUGCAUUUGUGACUGCAAGGCUAGAGUACGGCAGAGGGGGAUGGAAUUCCGCGUGUAGCAGUGAAAUGCGUAGAUAUGCGGAGGAACACCAAUGGCGAAGGCAAUCCCCUGGGCCUGUACUGACGCUCAUGCACGAAAGCGUGGGGAGCAAACAGG
rnacentral:rRNA from 1 species